rnacentral:RNase_P_RNA from 1 species
GGGACAGUGCCACAGAAAAAAUACCGCCAUGGCGUGCCAUGGUAAGGGUGAAAUGGUGCGGUAAGAGCGCACCGCCGGUCUGGCAACAGAACGGGCAUGGUAAACCCCAUCCGGAGCAAAAUCAUAUAGGGACAUGGGAACGGCUUGUUCGUUCAGAUGCGGUCCUGCAUCAUGUCCGGGUAGGUUGCUUGAAGCGGCUGGUAACAGCCGUUCUAGAUGAAUAGUCGCCAAUGCUGGUAACAGCAUUACAGAACCCGGCUUACAGACCAUCUGACAGU